UACGGAGGGGGCUAGCGUUGUUCGGAAUUACUGGGCGUAAAGGGCUCGUAGGCGGCCAACUAAGUCAUACGUGAAAUCCCUCAGCUUAACUGGGGAACUGCGUGUGAUACUGGAUGGCUUGGAUUUGGGAGAGGGAUGCGGAAUUCCAGGUGUAGCGGUGAAAUGCGUAGAUAUCUGGAGGAACACCGGUGGCGAAGGCGGCAAUCCUGGACAUGUAUGACGCUGAGGCGCGAAAGCGUGGGGAGCAAACAGGAU
rnacentral:rRNA from 1 species